rnacentral:misc_RNA from 1 species
GUUUGAACUAGGUCCUCUGGUAACUCGGUUCAUGAUUGAGAAAAAUAUUCAUCUCCGGGGCAUUGCUCAUCCAUUUCUCUUCAAUAAGGAAGCGGAACAGCUUAUGCCUGAUUCAGCGUCAUUUGACGGGACUAGAAUAAUGGGCGCAGUUCCAGUCACAGCAUCUAAUUUCUAUAAGCUUCUAUCCCAGAAGUCAUUUGUUU